rnacentral:lncRNA from 1 species
AUAAUUAAUUAACUUAAAGUAAAUAAUUUUUUAGGAGACACUUAGCACACAUUGAGUGGAAAGAUUUUAAAGCCAAUCUUGUUGUUCUUGUAUCCAUUAGGGUUUUUUUUUUUUUUUUUUUUACUCUAUGAAAAUAAGAAGGGUGUAAGAGUAAAUUCACAAUCUCUCAAAAAAUACAUAAACCUAAAUGGAAGAAGAUAUUUAACCAAAAUAUCCCAUAAUUUCAAAAAAACCAAAUGGUCCAAAAGUACCUUAGUUGACCUACUUUGUUCUUCAUCUUUGUCUUUAGAAUUUUUGUACAUGAGUAUCCUUGUCUAACAGUCUCUUUGAACUACUCACUUGCAUUUCCUAAUCUAUCCAAAAUUUUCUUAUGGGGUAAAUAUUGUCUAAAUGUAACAAAACCUAGAUGGUUAAUUCAUUAAGGAGUCUAAUAUUUCUUUAGUUACUAAUUCCUAGGAUUUUUAAACUCAUCAAAAAAACUCCGUAGCUCAAGUUUAACUUGAAUUAGAUUAUGUUUGGAUAGUUUUUUUAUUUUUAGAAAAUUUGCAUAUUUAUAUUGGAGGGUUGUUCGAUUGAGAAAAAAUUAAUAUGACUUUAGAAUUACAGUUCCUUUUUGUGGACUUUCCAAAUCUUUAAGUCCACUUAAACUUUCUUUUGUUAUGGGAGGAUUUAACAUUUGUGGAGUGAUCAUAUUGCAAUUCUGCUAUAGUUUUAAUCGCGAGAAUUUUUAUGAAUAAUUAUGACAUACAUAAUUUCACUAAGUUUUCUCUAAAAUAAAUAUCUCUUUUAUAUAUUACUUGUUUAAUUUUACAAAAGGUAUGAGAUAUAUGUUAUUUCCACAUUAAAAUUAAGUGGGUGGCCCACUAACCUAGUAUUUAGCCAAUUAAAUAAUAUCCACUAUCUUUAAACUGUUAUAGAUAUUUACCAUUGAUGGACUGGGUAAAUUAUAAUAAUUUUAAUAUUAUUAUUUAAGAUAAUUAACAGUUAUUUCGAUUGACACGUUCAGAACGGUUUUUGAACGUGUAUUCUUGGCCCUCUUCUCCUAUCAAUAAAAUAUAUAUACAGAAACCCCUUCAUGUGCAGUGUGUGCUUUUCCAUCAAUUACAGAAAAAUAACUGUGUGUAUUAAGGUUUGAUAAGGAGAAGAAGAGAUCAAGGUUUUAAGAUCUAUAAGCUGAAGGGAAAUCUCUCAUGGCUGCGUCUUCUUCAAAUGGUAUGUGAUCUAUUUGUUAAUUACUGGAUUUAUUUAUUAUUUUAUUAUCAGAGACGAGUUUGAAUCAUAAUGAUCUGGAUUAUUGUAUGUUUAUUUCCGUGUUAAAUUCCAACAAUAUAUGUUAAAUUUUUAUUUGGUCAAAAUGCUAUGAUUUAUAUUGAGUUUGCAAAAAUGAAUGUUACGAUGCCUUUAAGAAAUUAUUUAUUAUGAUGCAUAUGUUUACAACCAAUGAUAUGACAUGAUUUGUUAGACUUUUUGAACGUAAGAAAUUAUUUAUUAUGAUGCAUAUGUUUACAACCAAUGAUAUGACAUGGUUUGUUAGACUUUUUGAACGUUGAUAUUAACAUAUCCACUUGUAAGGUGUUUUGUGCAAUUUUGUUAUGGGAUUCCACACAAUUCAUGUAGUAGGGAAAUGUCAUAAAAUGGGAUUGUGGGUUUUGAUGUUGGGCUAAAGGGUAAAGCUUGAAGCGGUAAAGUAUGCAUUAUUGUGUCCUAAUAGGAUGACCAAGAGAUGAGUUCUUUAGUGUUGUAAUCCAUGGUGGUAAGACUCUAAAAACUGCAUAAAUGAAAGGUUCAUGGAUAGUAGACUUUUAUGUCGUCGAUGGAUUGACUAUAAAUAUGCUUAGACCUCUGAUUCCAUGUUUUACAUUUCACAUGUUCUUUAAAUGUUAUUAUGAUUAUUCUAUACUAGUUUUUAUUUACUAAAUUUAUUAUACAAUAUGUUUUAGAAUUGCCCGUAAUAUGAAUUGACUAUUUUAACACUUGUAUAUCGUGAAUAUAAGGUCUAGAGGGGUCCCUUCAUAUUGCUUUUAAAUAAUGUGUUAGAAAGGGUAUAUAUGUACUAGAUUUUUAUUUUUAUUUUCAUGUCAUAAUGGUGUUUUUCUUAAAACAUAUAUUUUUUAAUAUGUAUUAAAAAUUGAAUUGUAUCAUUUUGAUAAAUAAAUAUUUAUCUUUAUUUUCCAAAUUCCAUACUUCAAGAGUAAUGAUAUAUUUAAUCUUAAGAUGAUUUUCCUAUUUAUCAACUUCACAGUAUUCUCCUCUUUGGGUAUGAUUUAACUAAGUUCAAAGAUCAAAAUAUUGGUCAUAGGAUUUUACGAAAUAUUAAAAAGUAUUUAACCUAAAUAAAUACAUAAAAAAUACCAAAGGAACAAAAAUUAAUCAAAAUUUUUAGAAACAUUAACAAAAACUCUAAGAAAUAAUAAAACAUACAGUAAUACAUAUAUUGAAGUUAUUUUAUUAAAAAAUAUAUUUAUAUGAUAAAAUUUACCAUAUUCAAUAAUCAUAUAUAAAAUUUAAAAAUAAAUUUAAGAUUAAAUAUUUUUUUAAAUUCACUUGAUAUAUUUAUUUUAAAAAAAUAAAUUUAUAUUAAUAUAAUAUUAAAAAAAUAUUUUAAAAAAUAACAAUAAAAAAAAAAGAUUUUUUGUAAGGUUAUUUUUUAUAUAUUUCAUUCCAAACCCUUAUGUUUUCAUUCUCAUUUCAUUUCUUGAUGAUUAUAUAAAUACUUCAAUCGGAUUUUUUUCAUUCUAAUUUCGUUUUUUUCCUCAUUCUAAUUCCCUUUCUUUUCAAUUCUAUCUCCUUAUAAUUUAGUAAAUAAGUUUUUAAUUUGUAAAGUCACAUAUAUUGACAGUAUGGAUUAGAUGAGCAUAAGCCAUUUGGCCACAAUUUUAUUUUAGUUGUGUUUGGUUUUUGCAAAAUUUGAGGGAAAAAAAAAAGGGAAAUAAAGUAGAGUAGAAAAGUAAGACGAAAUAAAAAAAUAAAAGAAAAUAAAAUUAUAUAAUAUUUUAAACUUAUUUUUCAUAUUUUAUUUAAAGAUUAAAUAAUUUAAAUAUAUAUAAAUAUUUAAUUAAAAUUUAUUUUAAUUUCAUUUUUGUAUUUUUCCUUAGUAUAAAGUAAUUUUCCUUAGUAUUCUUUAUCUUUCCUCGUUACUUUUUGGAACCACAUAUGGUAUCACAAUAUGUUUGAAAUUUGGAAAACAUACAAAGGAAAGGAAAAUUAUUUUUCAUGAUCAACAUAUUAUAAAAUUCUGUGAAAAAAAAAAAGAGGAAGAAUUGAGAAAAUUUAAAUUUUUUUUUUUUCAAUUUCUUUUGCAACUGUUUUUAAAAAUAGUUUUGUGUACUCAAUAAUAAAAAUUAUAAAUAAAAAACAUGUUUGACAACCAAAAAACCUUUUUUUUUUCCUUAAAAACAAAAAAAUAGAGUAUUUUCAUAUAACAUUUUUUAAAAUUGUUUUAAGUUAUUUUCAUUUGUUUUUUGAGAAUUAUUUUAAAAAAUAAUUAUAUAAAUAUGUAAGAUGAUUAAAAAUAAAAUGCUAGAUAUAAAAAUUAUUUUUAAAAAUAAGUUAAAAACAUUUUAGAUUUUGAAAUAGAUUUUUGUUCUAUAAAAUACAAUUUUAAAAAACUAUGGUAAAAAAACUAUUUUUCAUAAUUAUUUUAACAAACGGUUACCAAAGAGUGCCAUAAUGUACAAUCAAUUUUGAUUUACAAAACUUGUGCUUGAUGUUUGUAAUUUGACAUUUUUUGUUUUUGUGUAGCUAUGAAAUGUUAACAAUUUUUUUUUUAUUUUUUUUUAUUUUUUAUAGAUGAGAGAUUAUAAUAAUUAGAAUAUAUGAUAGGAAAAAACUUGUUAUUAAUUAUUUAAUAAUUAAACCAUUACAAGUCUUACAUAAAUAUAAAGCAUCAUGCAUGUGCCAUGCAGCUUGUUCCCUAUGAACUUACACGUACAACAUAUGGAUGCAUCUCCCUCUCUCCAGGAAGGCAUCCACUUGUUAUUUUCAAAAGCUAAUUAAACACUUGCAGAAUUAUUCAAACACAACCUGCAGGAAAAUCCAGCAGCAAACAUUCGCAAGUGGAUCUAAGAAGGCCUAAUUAGAACGCUUGAAGGAUUCCAGUGGAAGGAAGAGCAGAGGGUUAGAGACACAGUAGCCCCUGUAACUAGCAGCAUAGAAUUUCCACUGGCAUCAGGGACGGACACAAGCCCAAGCAGAUCAAUGUUAACCGUCUGGCUGCGGCCUACCGAGGCCGUGGAAACAACCAUAAGAGCAAAGAAGAGAAGGGAAAGAGGGGGAAAGACCCAUGAUUAUCUCUGGGACCGGAGUAGUACUGAUACUGAACAAAAGCUAGUUAUGUCCAACACCCUUGAGGUAAUUGAGGGGGUGGAGCUCCAUGUGAAUUUAUAGAUAGGAUUUUUUCUAGAGUCACAUGAUCUCUUAGCUGUGUUUGGCAUAUCCAUGGGAUUGAUGUUGCUGGAUGUUGAGUUGGAUUCAAUUCAUUCCAAGUGCCCUUGUUAAUGUCUUCAGCGAGAUGAUGGGUGCCAUGACUCGUAAUGACACUCAGGAGAAUAACGCCACUAGUGUAUUCAGAACAAGCUUCUAUGUUCAAUUUAAGGGAUUAAUUUAACUCAUGUUUUUCUACAGCAUAGGGG